AGCCUCUGCAUCCAGGCAGCCUUUGAGGCGCUUGGCUGGGGUGAAAGCAGACUGAUAGCCACCCGGUGCCCCAUCCCGAUCGUCCGGAGGGGAAGCGAAAGGCCUGAAGGCGCCGACGCCGCUGUGAUUCAGCAUGCUGAUUGAUACUGGGACGCCAAAUGGACGUGGCUGCUGGCAGGGAAUGGAGGCAUCCCGAGAGGCUUCAGCAGUGGAAGCCAGGACCAUGAGGGCUGGGGAUGCCAGGGGAUUGGGCAGAGUUUGAUGGGUGUGUUGCCGAGGCCGACUGAUCCAGAGACAGCGGACAUCCGUAGGUCGUCAAAGCUGGUUCCUCAUCGCCAUGUGGUUGACAAACUGGAAGGACACAGAACACAAAG